rnacentral:rRNA from 1 species
UGGGGGAUAUUGCACAAUGGGGGAAACCCUGAUGCAGCGACGCCGCGUGAGCGAUGAAGUAUUUCGGUAUGUAAAGCUCUAUCAGCAGGGAAGAAAAUGACGGUACCUGACUAAGAAGCCCCGGCUAACUACGUGCCAGCAGCCGCGGUAAUACGUAGGGGGCAAGCGUUGUCCGGAUUUACUGGGUGUAAAGGGAGCGUAGACGGCGGUGCAAGCCAGAUGUGAAAGCCCGGGGCUCAACCCCGGGACUGCAUUUGGAACUGUGCUGCUAGAGUGCCGGAGAGGCAGGCGGAAUUCCUAGUGUAGCGGUGAAAUGCGUAGAUAUUAGGAGGAACACCAGUGGCGAAGGCGGCCUGCUGGACGAUGACUGACGUUGAGGCUCGAAAGCGUGGGGAGCAAACAGG